UGCAUGGUUGUCGUCAGCUUCGUGUCGUGAGAUGUUGGUUAAGUCCCCGCAACGAGCGCAACCCUUGAUCUUAGUUGCCAGCAUUCAGUUGGGCACUCUAAGGUGACUGCCGGUGACAAACCGGAGGAAGGUGGGGAUGACGUCAAAUCAUCAUGCCCCUUAUGACCUGGGCUACACACGUGCUACAAUGGGCAGAACAAAGGGCAGCGAAGCCGCGAGGCUAAGCCAAUCCCACAAAUCUGUUCUCAGUUCGGAUCGCAGUCUGCAACUCGACUGCGUGAAGCUGGAAUCGCUAGUAAUCGCGGAUCAGCAUGCCGCGGUGAAUACGUUCCCGGGCCUUGUACACACCGCCCGUCACACCACGAGAGUUUGUAACACCCGAAGUCGGUGAGGUAACCUUUUGGAGCCCAGCCCGCCGAAGUGUGGAC
rnacentral:rRNA from 1 species